AACGAACGUUAGCGGCGCGCUUAACACAUGCAAGUCGAGCGAGAAAGGGCUUCGGCCCCGGUAAAGCGGCGCACGGGUGAGUAACACGUAGGUAAUUUGCCCUCAGGUGGUGGAUAACCUUCCGAAAGGAGGGCUAAUACAGCAUGAGACCACGCUCUCGAAAGGGAGAGGGGUCAAAGCCGGCCUCUUCAUGAAAGCUGGCGCCAGAGGAUGAGCCUGCGGCCCAUCAGCUAGUUGGUAGGGUAAUGGCCUACCAAGGCGAAGACGGGUAGCUGGUCUGAGAGGAUGAUCAGCCACACUGGAACUGAGACACGGUCCAGACUCCUACGGGAGGCAGCAGUGGGGAAUCUUGCGCAAUGGGCGAAAGCCUGACGCAGCGACGCCGCGUGAGUGAUGAAGGCCUUCGGGUUGUAAAGCUCUGUGGAGGGGGACGAAUAAGUGGUGGCUAAUAUCCACCAUGAUGACGGUACCCUUUUAGCAAGCACCGGCUAACUCUGUGCCAGCAGCCGCGGUAAAAC
rnacentral:rRNA from 1 species